CGCUCGGAAGGCCUAGUGGUUAGAGCAUCUGCCUCAGAUGCGGGAGGUCAUAGGUUCAAUCCUUGGUCGAGUCA